ensembl:lncRNA
GGACAGCCGGCAUCGAAGUUCAGUAGACGGGACCCAGCCGCAGGCCUCCGCCUGAGCAGAGCAGGAGCAGAGGAGGGCAGAAGGCUGGUGCAGGGGCUGAGUUCCCCUGGAGGGAACCCCUGAGAAAACAGCAAGGCCAGGAGCCAAAGCCAGCUGCAGAUUCGGCCUGCAGUCGGCUCUGCGCGGUGGAUGUGGGAACCCAGCCACGGCAGCCGCCCCCUGUGCUGCACGGCGGUCAGAGCACACAGACCCCAGCGCCAGCCGUCAGCCCUGUGUCUCCAGGAACUGAACAUGUGUCCUCCACGUCCCCUUUGCUCCCUCAGCACCCUGACAACAUGCGGGGCCCGACUCCUGAGCUCCCAUCUGCCUAGAGGCACCGUGUGCCUGCAACCCUGGGGCUCCGGACCCCGCUCUGCCUCCACAGGGCCGAGGUUGGUGUCCGUCAGUGGGCUCUGCACCUUGAAGAUGCUGAGCCCUCUGCAUUGCACAGUGGAGACUGCCAGAUCCCCCAAGGGCUGCACAGGAGAGAGCAAAGCCAGGCCCAGGGCUCAGCAGGCAGAAGGAAGCCUCAGGCAGGCAGGGUGGUGGCAGGUGUGCGAGGACCUGGGCUGGUGGAGGAGCCACAGGGCACCCCCGGGCACGGCUCAUCCUGAGGCAUGUGGCAGAGCGAUGCCUGGGUAGAGGGCCGGGGAAGGAGCCACAGUGUCCCAUCGUCCCCGGCCUGCAGCAUAUGACUGUCCAGUUUACUGCUGUGAGUCUGGCCUCCUUCAGGACAAAAUGCCAGACCUGAAAUCUCUUGCAUGCAGCCCCUUUGGAGCAGUGCUGGUGUCCACAGGCC